rnacentral:rRNA from 1 species
AGGGUUGGUGCAUGGUUGUCGUCAGCUCGUGUCGUGAGAUGUUGGGUUAAGUCCCGCAACGAGCGCAACCCUCGUCCUAUGUUGCCAGCGGGUCAUGCCGGGGACUCAUGGGAGACUGCCGGGGUCAACUCGGAGGAAGGUGGGAUGACGUCAAAUCAUCAUGCCCCUUAUGUCUUGGGCUUCACGCAUGCUACAAUGGCCGGUACAAAGGGCUGCGAUACCGCGAGGUGGAGCGAAUCCCAGAAAGCCGGUCUCAGUUCGGAUUGGGGUCUGCAACUCGACCCCAUGAAGUCGGAGUCGCUAGUAAUCGCAGAUCAGCAACGCUGCGGUGAAUACGUUCCCGGGCCUU